rnacentral:lncRNA from 1 species
ACUGAAAAAAAAAUGAAGAACAAUGGAAACAAGGAAAAAGAAAUAUCACUGUCAACAAGAAUAAAUUGUUAUUUCCAGUAAGAAAACAAAAUGAGUUGUUAUAUUUCUCAACUUCUCUCCUUAAUGUAUUUAUUAUUUAUUUUUUCCUUUCUAUGUUUGCAUAUAUGUUUAAAGUUGAAAACUAUGGUUGUGGUGAAAGGGUUUAGUCAUUUUUAUUUCUCUCAUGUUCAACAUAUAUUGUUACAUUUCCACCUUUAAAUAUUUAUUUCUUCCAUUUUUUAUUUUACAUUUUUUAUUCUUCAAUGAUCAAGAUUAUAAAGCGGAAAAGUUUUUUCAAUGAUCUAGGGUUUCUUUCUCUUUUUAUUCUUAGUUACGUUAUUUCUUCUUUCCUUUUUUAUCCUAGAAUUUUUGACAGGGAUUUCUUUCUUUCCCUUUUUAUUCUUAGUCAUUUCUUCUUUUACAUUACAAACCUUACUAACUAACUAACUAACUACUGCUAGGGUUUGACUCUAACAGGCUCUAUCUCUACUUUCAAACAAAAAAGAACAACUACAAAAAAAUGGCCGACAUGUCUAGGAUACGUUCAAUCAACCGUGAACUCAAAGGUAUCCAACUUUUCAUUCCAUAGCUUUCAAUUUAAUACAUUCAAUGUUUUAUUAUUUUUAUUUUAUUUUAUUUAACUAUGUAUGAUAUGAUAGUUAUGAUUUUAGAUAAAAAUAAGUGCGAACAGUGGAGUUAAGAACAAAGAGCAGAAGUACUAUGAACCGAUGAAGCAAUUGUAUAAUUGUAAGUUUACUUAGACAUCCUUUAUAUCACCUACACCCAAUUGAUGAAUUUUUUUUCGACCUUGUUAUAAAAAAAUUCUAAUUUUGACCCCUUUUCAUAUUUAAUUUCCGAAAUGACUCACUUUCACAUUUUUUUCAUUACCGUCCGUUGAGAUGGCAGUAUUCAGCUGGUAUGCAGACAAGUGACAGGGUGUGACAGGUGAUGGUAGUUUGACCAUUUUAUUUUGUUUUUUUUUUUUCUUUACCGCCGUUUCAAGUGGCGAUAUAUUGAAUUUAUAAUUUUUUUUUUUCGUUUUCUCUUUUUGUCACAAGAAGUGUGCUUUAAAAUUAAAACACUAAUAAUAAUAAAUAAAUACUUAUUAAUGAUAAUGAUAAUAAAUAUUAAUUUAUUAAUUUAAAAACACUAAUUAUAUUAUUCAUAUAAUUAGAAAUAAAAACAAUAACUACUUUUUCCGCUUUAUCCAAUUUCAAAAAUUUAAAUUAUGACGUCCCGUAUCACAUAGUUUAUCUUUUUUAAUUCGUACGGGUCGUUGGUCUUGCUCUUGCUCUUCCUCUUCCACCUCCUCAUCAUGAAUUUCAACAUCAUUGGUUUCCAUAGUCACCUCAUUUUGCACUCGUGCAACAAAGUUAGUCCAAAUUUCAUUAACGAAAUCAUUGCCAUUAAACCCUACAACCCGACUUUUUAUGGUAUUAGGUUGUGGAUGUGGCCAUUGGGGUGAAUAGUUUGUUUGGGGAUAGUUUACAAUGUUUGGAGGGGUUGGUAAGAUGAACGAGGAGUAUUGUGAUCGGUCAGGGUAACUAGUUUGUGGGGUGUUUUGAGUUGGAUUGAAGUCAUCAAAUGAAUAGUUUGAUGUUUGAGAGCUUUCUCAAUGAUGACUAAGUUGAGAGUAGCUUGGAAAUAUAAUUGGGUAGUUUUGUAAGAAUUGGUUCGUGGGUUGUAGUGAUGAUUGGUAGGUUUGGUUGUAAUUGUAGUUUGUGGAUGAGUUAAAGCUUUGGUCAAAGUAAGUGGGUGGAGGUGUAAUGAAUUGGUUGUUGGGUGGAGGUGUAUUUGACCACAUGUUUGCAUUUGACAUCAUAUAGGUUUAUGGUUUUGCAGGAUAGUCUGACGGAAAUUCUCGUAAAAUUCUUCUACACUCUACCAUUGAGUUUGCUAAUAGUGCUUCUCUAGAAAUCCAAAAAUGAUCUCCAAAAAAGUUCCAAUACCAUUCAAAAUAUCGACGAUUCUGAUAAACCUCAUGGUUAUAUCAGACUCCAUCUAGUGCUAACUGAUGACGUUGGUUUCACUUUUGGAUAUUAUACUUAAAUUCAUCUCCACACGAGCCUUUUUUUUUUGAAUUUGUCAAAAAAAUCUUGUGGAAAUCUUUUAUAUCAUAUGUAUGGUAAGUGAAUAUUGUGGUAAGCCAAAUUAAAGUAUUACUCUAUCUGUUUGAUGUCUUUCGACUAUCUCGAAACAUAUGAGAUAUGUGUUUGCAGACCAUAUCCGAAUUUCUUCUUCGUUGGUGUAAUGGAAGUGGAGAUUGGGCCUCCAAUAGAACUGUUUAAAAUGAGGAAUGCUAGUCUUCUAAUGUUGACUAAAAAGAAAUCACGAAAAUAAAAAGUGUAAUACUUGAUCAUAUGUCAUAUUGUCGAAUUUUGAAUGUGUCGAAACAAGAUUAUGCAAAGGAUUUUCGAUAAAUUUACUCCCACGUUCUAGCCAUCUAAUUAUUUUUAAAAUAUUCUAAUUAAUAUACUUGAUAAUUGUAUUUUAAAACUAGUAAGAAAUAAUAUAUUUAUUUAACUUACAUAUUUGUCAACGGAGGUUGUGUUUCAGGUUGUGGUGGGUGCCUGGACACGGGAGCUAUGAACAACAUUCUUGACCACGCC